UACGUAGGGGGCUAGCGUUAUCCGGAAUUACUGGGCGUAAAGGGUGCGUAGGCGGGCUUUUAAGUCAGCGGUAAAAAUUCGGGGCUCAACCCCGUCCGGCCGUUGAAACUGGGGGUCUUGAGUGGGCGAGAAGAAGGCGGAAUGCGUGGUGUAGCGGUGAAAUGCAUAGAUAUCACGCAGAACCCCGAUUGUGAAGGCAGCCUUCCGGCGCCCUACUGACGCUGAGGCACGAAAGUGCGGGGAUCGAACAGG
rnacentral:rRNA from 1 species